AUUGAACGCUGGCGGCAGGCCUAACACAUGCAAGUCGAGCGAGCGGCGGACGGGUGAGUAAUGUAUGGGGAUCUGCCCGAUAGAGGGGGAUAACUACUGGAAACGGUGGCUAAUACCGCAUACUAUCGGAUGAACCCAUAUGGGAUUAGCUAGUUGGUGGGGUAAAGGCUCACCAAGGCCACGAUCCAUAGCCGGCCUGAGAGGGUGACCGGCCACACUGGAACUGAGACACGGCCCAGACUCCUACGGGAGGCAGCAGUGGGGAAUAUUGGGCAAUGGGCGAAAGCCUGACCGAGCCAUGCCGCGUGUAUGAAGAAGGCUUUCGGGUCGUAAAGCACUUUCAGCAGGGAAGCGGUACCUGCAGAAGAAGCCACGGCUAACUACGUGCCAGCAGCCGCGGUAAUUC
rnacentral:rRNA from 1 species